rnacentral:rRNA from 1 species
UACGGAGGAUGCGAGCGUUAUCCGGAUUUAUUGGGUUUAAAGGGUGCGUAGGCGGGCUUUUAAGUCAGCGGUAAAAAUUCGGGGCUCAACCCCGUCCGGCCGUUGAAACUGGGGGUCUUGAGUGGGCGAGAAGAAGGCGGAAUGCGUGGUGUAGCGGUGAAAUGCAUAGAUAUCACGCAGAACUCCGAUUGCGAAGGCAGCGUACCGGCGCCCUACUGACGCUGAAGCACGAAGGCGUGGGUAUCGAACAGG